rnacentral:lncRNA from 1 species
CUGAAACUCAGUUAUUUAAAUACCACGAUGAUCAUGAAUCUCUAAAAUUUUAAACUAAUUAAAAUAAAACUGGAUAGAAUUAAUAGAAAAAGCCUCAAACCAGGCAAAGGAAAAACAAAACCCCAUGCAAGCUGAUCUGAUGAAGAUUAUGGAAUGAAAUCAGGAUGGGGAGCAGAGGCAAUGCUCCAGAUUACUUUGUCAUUGAAAAGCAGUAUCAUAGUGAUGAGCUACUGCCUGUCAGAGACCCAGAGCCCUGCUGCUGUACCUUGUGAAUCAGUUCCCCAGUAUCUUUGGAGUUACAGAAAGUUUCCCUCCAAGCGCUGGAGAUGUAUGCUGAGCACUGGCUGCCAAGGCAAACGCUCCACACAGGAAGGCACAGAGCUGCCCAACGUGCCUGGCACCUCAGUGGUGGCUGGCCCAGCACUCUGUGCCUCCACACCCCAUCGCCUGUCCUGGCAAAACCAUCCCGGUCACCUUCCUGAAAGAGGCCAUGAUGGAGCUUCAAAAAUAAAAGCCACAUCCCAGGAUCUCCACAUAAAGAAAAAUGGAGGAAGGUUGUGAACAGGGACAAACAGAAGAUACAAGAAAUUAAAAUCAGGAGAUAGCAGGAAGACGAGGUGAGAACCUCCCCAACUUUGCUACUUGUGUUGAAUGACUUUCAGUGCAAUGAGAAGAACUAUACAGCAGAAAGUUUCAACAGUUUGAUAAUUUGAUAUCUAAAAGUAUUUUCCUUUGCUCUUAGCCAGUGUCCUAGCAUGGAGCUGAUUUGCAAAGAUGUUGACCAUUUGCCUGACUUCACAGAAAUCCACAGAAGCUAAGACACUGAGCAGGGUCAGAAAGCAAAGCCCUAGACUAGGUGCCAUGAUACAAUGAGGAAAUCCAACCCCUGGUGUCUCUUUUGGAAUUUCUGUCUUGUAUUUGAUUUAAAAUGUCUGCUGUGCUAACUCUAGCUUUGGUACAAAUCAGCAGAUUUAGGCAUUUCUUAUUGGCUUCAGAUACACUGUGACGUCCACUUCUAGCGGCUGAGGAAGGGGUUAGGAUUUUUUGCAGUGCAGAAGUUAGGGUGUGACAGUACAAAUUCCAGCUAAUGGAGUGGAUCACAUUCAAAUUUCAAACACUUGCCAUUCCCUGGAAUAAGUACUGCUUUAGACAAGUAGCACAAAAUGAUGGAAUAAAACUAGGACUUCACUUCCAUUCUCAAACAAAGAGCAUAUUCAUUAGGAAGACCACCUCCUCCUAAGCACUUACACUGGUGUUUUUUCUACAGACAGGCUUCAAAUCCUAUCAUAUGUUCCUCAUUUACAUAUCACAUUAACUAGUGAGGACAACAGAAAUCUAGUGUUACUUCUAACCAGCUCAGGAUCUCUGCAUCUCAUUAGUUGCCUCUUCCCUCCAAGGACUUGUGCUGUGCUGCAUGGUUGCAGUUAAGAAGUCACCAGAUGGUACAGAGUCAGCACUCUGUUUUUUUACACCAGAGCCUUUAGUUUAAUUUAUUUUAAUUUAGUUUAGUUCAGGGUUUUUUGUUUUAUUUUGAUUUGUUUUGAUUUUCUUUGGUUUUAAUUUUUUAGGGCUUUUUUUGGUUGGUUGGAUUUUUUUUUAAGAAACAGGUUUUUAAUAAAAAAGGAAGAUAAUAGCUUCAGUCCAGGAGAGGCAUGCAUGUGGUGGCAGUGAGUGUCAGUCAGUGAGUGCUGGUGCUGCUUGGUGUCCGUGCAUAUGGGCAGAGCUGGGACAGUUCCCAGUGAGAAGCCCCAAGAGCACAGAACUGCACAUAACCCAUGGGCAGGUGGAUUUCACCGUUUCCCUUCCAACACUCCCAGAGCUGUACAACCUCAUGCACCCAAGUGUCGAAAUAGCGGCCACUAAAUGAAUUUCACUGUCAUUUAUUAAAAGUGGAGCAGCUCAACUGGCCACAGAAACCAGUAAUAAACUUCUAAGACAGAAAAGGUCUUUCAAGGGAGCUUGUUGAUUUCUUUUCCUUAGAGGUCUCUGGGAAGAAUUUCAUUUAUUUGCCCUGUGGAAGAGAGUUAUUUAUGCUUUUAUGUGGCACAACAUUGGUUUCAUUUAAACCACUUAGCAGCCCUGUUUAAGGCAUCUGCUUGUUUAACCAAUCCUAAGCUUGUGCUCCCAAAUGUCCAGAGCUCAUAUAUUGUUGUGCCAACACACUAAAUGGCUUCCCAGCUCCAGAAACUGUGCAUUCACAAAGUCUAAAAGAUGAGUUACUUCUGUAGCUUGCCAAGGAAACUUAAUUCAAAAUCAUUACUUUCUAGUAGUGGGUUUAGGAUAUGUGUCAGCAGCUUUCGUUUAGUGCAGUUUAGUUGGCCCAUCAGAUAUAUGAUGGAUGUUAUCAGGGAGUAACUUUCAGAGAGCUGAAGCAAAUCUCCAUUUUGAAAGCAGCAAGGUAGAUGGCAAGUCCUAUUAAAGCUGAUGGUUUGUUGUUUUUUGGGGGUUUUUUUUUCCCCACAGGUAAAUUUCCAGGAUCUUUCAGGAUGUUCCUUUUUCAGGAUGUCACUAUAGAGGGGGAGUUGGUGACUUUACAGAAGGAACAGUGAUGUGGCCAGCUGCAUUAGCAAGGAGUGUCACACGGGUGAAGAAGAAAAUACCCUGGCAAAUGUUUUUGAGAAAGUUUGCACAAACUGCCUUAAUUAAACUUCAGAUAACUGCUAUUACCCUCUUGCAUUACCAAGCAACUUAGUUCUAAAAAAGAAGUUCUUCUUACGAUACUUGGAUUUUGGGCUUUGGUUGUUUCAGCAAUAAUCGAUUUUCUGCUUUGGGAUUUUAAAUUAAAACCUUUUGCACUGUAGUCUUUCCACUUACCAAGUGGAUUAUUGCCCCUUAAAACAAUGAGGGGCAAGUAUUUCCCUUGUGUUACAGAAGGAUUUGAAAAAAAUGCAAAAGCAAUGGAAAUAUGCCAGCUUUUGUUAACACAUUGUGCAUAUCAAUGGUUUACAGGGGCAGGCACAUGAGAGAAGGGCUGGGAAAAAAGUGACGGCAUGAUUGAUUGCAUUUUCCUAUUUGUGAUUAUCUGUCUAUGUGACAUACAUAUAACAGGACAUAUACAUAUGUUACAUAUGUAUAUGCAUAUACAUAUUAUAUACAUAUAUAAAUAUUAAAAUAAAAAAUAUAUAAAGUACAUAUAACAGUACAUAGACCUCAAUUUCACACAUAUCCACCUCAAAAUCAAAACUAUGACUUCUUUCUUUUGUUUAUUUUGCUGGACUAAUAUAAAGGGAAAGGUGACCUAAGGAAAAUAAAAUUAAUAACACCAGGGAAAUCCAUUUUCACUCAAAACUCAUCAAGAACCAGACAGUUUUCUAAGGCCUAGAGAAGAUGAGGGAGUUCUGUGGCUACCUGAUCCUUUUCCCAUGAAUGCUGCCAUCUCCACCAUCAAUCUUUUAACUUCUCUACCUAUUUUUGGAAACUUCUCACACUAAAUUUCCCAAAGUUGUUUCAGCUAGGAUAGAAUGAAUGAAAACUGAAUUAGGUCCAACAUUUUGUCUUCUAUACUGGCAAUAUAUUUGGAGAAAGGACUGCUUAAACCUUUUGUCUUGCUCAGAAAGAAGCACAUUGACCCUGCAACACAACCUGCCCAUGAAUAACCACAGUCUUUCAAUGCUACUUCCCCUUGCUACUGUCCCCUCUCUUCCACACUUUUCUCAGGUUUAUAUAUCUUUUCUCGGGACUCAAGGAAGUAUUGAAGUCACUUUGAAAGAUGCUCUUUUAAUAACAUUUCUGCCCCAAUGCAAGUAAAAAAAAAUCCCAAACAGAAAAGAAAAGGUGAAAGAUUGAGCUGGGAAUUUCGCCACUUAGAUUUUUUUGCUUUGGAUGGAGAGUUCCUGUAAUUUUCUGAAGAGUAACCAUACAAAAUCUCUCCUCUUUCAGCACUUCUAGGUUUCUUGUGACCUUGUUUUGGUACAGGAGCACUCAGACACAUUGUUUGUUGCACUAUACAUUCUGAUGAUACAUAAAUUGUAUCAGCUCAUGGAGUUAUUUAAAAAGAGACCCUCAGUCUCCCAGUGGAUGUCAUUCUGACUCUGGGUACUGGCAAUCCAGUGAUAUUAGAUUAUACCUGAUAUCAGAAUCUGGUCAUUGUCUUCAAAAUUUACUUGUCUUUGUCUCCAGUUUUGCAGUUUAUUUAUCAGAGAAGACAGAAGAUACUGUACUCAAAGCCCCUGGGUCAGCAAAUAUCUUUUUUUCCCAAAAUACACACUAAAAAGCAC